AGAUUGAACGCUGGCGGCAUGCCUUACACAUGCAAGUCGAACGGCAGCACGGGAGCAAUCCUGGUGGCGAGUGGCGAACGGGUGAGUAAUAUAUCGGAACGUGCCCAGUCGUGGGGGAUAACGUAGAGAAAUUUACGCUAAUACCGCAUACGAUCCAAGGAUGAAAGCGGGGGACCAUAAGGCCUCGCGC
rnacentral:rRNA from 1 species